AGAGAUGCACUGGGUGUAAAGGGUGCGCAGGCGGUUUUGUAAGACAGAGGUGAAAUCCCCGGGCUCAACCUGGGAACUGCCUUUGUGACUGCAAGGCUGGAGUACGGCAGAGGGGGACGGAAUUCCGCGUGUAGCAGUGAAAUGCGUAGAUAUGCGGAGGAACACCGAUGGCGAAGGCAAUCCCCUGGGCCUGUACUGACACUCAUGCACGAAAGCGUGGGGAGCAAACA
rnacentral:rRNA from 1 species